AUGGCAUCCGCGACGACAAUGCACCACCGGCGCCGCUCCAUUAUCCAGCUGGCCUUCCUGCUCCUGGUGGCGUCACCGGCGUCAAUGCUGGCGGCCGGCGGAGCCUGCGAGAGCGAGGAGUUCCCGGCCGGCAGGAGCUACGCGACGUGCGCGGACCUCCCGACCCUCGGCGCCUCGCUGCACUGGACGUACGACGCGCCGGCCUCGUCGCUGUCCCUGGCGUUCGCGGCCAAGCCGCCGGGCACGAGCGGCGCCGGCUGGGUGGCCUGGGGGAUCAACCCCACCGGCGACGGCAUGAAGGGCGCGCAGACGCUCGUUGCCUUCAAGAGCAGCGGCGCGUACGUCGUCAACACGUACAACCUCACCGGGUACCGCCCGCUCAGCGCGGCGUCCAUGCCGAUCGCGUUCGAGGCCACCGACCUCGCCGCCGACGAGGGCGCCGACGGGAAGGUGCGGCUCUACGGUACGCUGCAGCUGCCCAAGGGCAUGGAGGCCGUGAACCACAUCUGGCAGGUAGGGUCGACGGUGGCCAAUGGGGUGCCGGCCAAGCACGCGUUCGCGCAGGAGAACCUGGAUUCGAAGGGCAGUCUCGUGCUCACUGGUGCCGGAGCGACGGACGCCGCGCCGGCUCCGGUGGCCGGUGGCCCGUCGGCCGAGGAGGCUACUGGUAACCUAGAGACAGAGACCGCGCCCGAGGCAGCGCCGGCCCCGUUGGCCGGUGCCCCGUCGACCGAGGAGGCUGGCGGUGACCUAGAGACGGGAACCGCACCGUCGCCAGCGCCAGCGCCGUCCAGCGGGUCGGCAGCGAUAAUCACCACGUACGCCUCGGCUCCGGUGUUCAUUUUGAUUCUGGUGUUCGCUGGUUUCUUCGCGACUGUAUAA
rnacentral:rRNA from 1 species